rnacentral:lncRNA from 1 species
UCUAGCCCAGGGUAAGGGUAAGGUCUGCGUACACACUACCCUCUCCAGACCCCACUAAAUGGGAUUAUACUGGGUUGUUGUUGUUGUUGAUAGAAAUAUCUGACAAAAUAUUAAUUCCACGCGCUGCUGAAGAUUUACAAAUAACAUGACAGUAUAAAACCUCAUCAAAUUCACCUUAAGGAGGAGGUAAAUUAAUUAACCAGUAAAGUAAUAAAAUAACGUUGGCUGAUUAAUGAAACACAAUCCCUAAAACACAAAAUAAUCGAAGGAGAUAAAUCUGAAGGGGAAAAAUUACAUACAAGGAUAUUACACACCAAUGAGAAAAAGAAAAGCGAAAAAAGAUUAAAAUUGCAUCAAAUGAAACAUCAUCAAAUCAGUUGCAACUGAGAGACUCGAAUCAAAUUCUUUUCCUGAUAACAAAGAAAGAAAUGAUGAAAGCAACAAAACCCAACAGAAAUGCUGGAGAAGAAUUGGCAGAGCCAAUAUUUUUUGAGGGAGAAGAUUCAGCAUAGUUGCCUCCUCCAUAUUGUGCAUUAACAACAGCCAAAACCAUGGCCAAAAACAUAACUACAGUUGCAACUGAACCCUUAAAACCCAUGCUUAAGCUCUAUCCUUAAGUUGCAACCUUAAACUACUUACACAAAAGUUGAUGAUUAAUUUCCUUUUGAAACUUCUCUCACAUUCCAACCAAACUCCAUGCUUAUAUAUAGGAAUAAUGUAGAGAAAUGGCCCAUUGAUUUUUCCCUAGUAGGUG